rnacentral:rRNA from 1 species
UACAGAGGUCCCAAGCGUUGUUCGGAUUUACUGGGCGUAAAGGGUGCGUAGGUGGCGAGGUAAGUUCGAUGUGAAAUCUCCGAGCUCAACUCGGAAAUGGCAUUGAAUACUAUCCCGCUUGAGGGUCGGAGGGGAGACUGGAAUUCUCGGUGUAGCAGUGAAAUGCGUAGAUAUCUGGAGGAACACCGGUGGCGAAGGCGGCAUCCUGGACCGAUAUUGACGCUGAUGCGCGAAAGCCAGGGGAGCAAACGGG